rnacentral:rRNA from 1 species
GGGCCCGCACAAGCGGUGGAGCAUGUGGUUUAAUUCGAUGAUACGCGAGGAACCUUACCAGGGCUUAAAUGUAGUGGGACAGGUCUAGAGAUAGACCCUUCUUCGGACUCAUUACAAGGUGCUGCAUGGUUGUCGUCAGCUCGUGCCGUGAGGUGUCAGGUUAAGUCCUAUAACGAGCGCAACCCCUAUCGUUAGUUGCCAGCGAGUAAUGUCGGGAACUCUAACGAAACUGCCAGUGCAAACUGUGAGGAAGGUGGGGAUGACGUCAAAUCAUCACGGCCCUUACGUCCUGGCUACACACGUGCUACAAUGGCCGGUACAGAGAGCAGCCACUUCGCAAGAAGGAGCGAA